rnacentral:rRNA from 1 species
CAUAUGCGGGAGGAGUGUAAGUGAAGGGGGUGGUGUGGCUUCGCGGCCGGAUGAAUAUUGUUUUUCACCCAUGUCUUUUGCGCACUUGUUGUUUCCUGGGCGGGUUCGCCCGCCACCAGGACCAAACCAUAAACCUUUUUUUUUAUGCAGUUGCAAUCAGCGUCAGUAAAAACAAUGUAAUUAAUUACAACUUUCAACAACGGAUCUCUUGGUUCUGGCAUCGAUGAAGAACGCAGCGAAAUGCGAUACGUAGUGUGAAUUGCAGAAUUCAGUGAAUCAUCGAAUCUUUGAACGCACAUUGCGCCCUUUGGUAUUCCAAAGGGCAUGCCUGUUCGAGCGUCAUUUGUACCUUCAAGCUUUGCUUGGUGUUGGGCGUUUUUGUCUCCCUCUUUCUGGGAGACUCGCCUUAAAACGAUUGGCAGCCGGCCUACUGGUUUCGGAGCGCAGCACAUAAUUUGCGCUUUGUAUCAGGAGAAAAGGACGGUAAUCCAUCAAGACUCUACAUUUUUAACUUUUGACCUCGGAUCAGGUAGGGAUACCCGCUGAGCUUAAGCAUAUCAAAAAGGGGGGAGAA